UACGAAGGGGGCUAGCGUUGCUCGGAAUCACUGGGCGUAAAGGGUGCGUAGGCGGGUUGGUAAGUCCGUGGUGAAAUCUCCAAGCUUAACUUGGAAACUGCCGUGGAUACUAUCAAUCUUGAAUAUCGUGGAGGUAAGCGGAAUAUGUCAUGUAGCGGUGAAAUGCUUAGAUAUGAUAUAGAACACCGAUUGCGAAGGCAGCUCACUAAACAGGUAUUGACGCUGAGGCACGAAAGCGUGGGGAUCAAACAGG
rnacentral:rRNA from 1 species